GACGUAGGGGGCCAGCGUUGUUCGGAAUUACUGGGUGUAAAGGGUUCGUAGGCGGUGUGGCAAGUCGGGAGUGAAAUCUCUGGGCCUCAACCCAGAGACUGGCUUCCGAAACUGACUGUGCUUGAGUGUGAGAGAGGCUCGUGGAAUUGCAGGUGUAGCGGUGAAAUGCGUAGAUAUCUGCAGGAACACCCGUGGCGAAAGCGGCGAGCUGGAUCACUAACUGCGCUGAGGAACGAAAGCUAGGGGAGCAAACAGG
rnacentral:rRNA from 1 species